ACGAACGCUGGCGGCGUGCCUAAUACAUGCAAGUCGAACGAACCGCGACUAAGUGCUUGCACUAAGUCAAGGUGAGUGGCGAACGGGUGAGUAACACGUGGGUAACCUACCUCAUAGUGGGGGAUAACAGUCGGAAACGACUGCUAAUACCGCAUAGGACAUAGGAUCACAUGAUCCAGUGAGGAAAGGUGGCGCAAGCUAUCGCUAAGAGAUGGACCCGCGGUGCAUUAGCUAGUUGGUAGGGUAAAGGCCUACCAAGGCGAUGAUGCAUAGCCGACCUGAGAGGGUGAUCGGCCACAUUGGGACUGAGACACGGCCCAAACUCCUACGGGAGGCAGCAGUAGGGAAUCUUCCGCAAUGGACGCAAGUCUGACGGAGCAACGCCGCGUGAGUGAAGAAGGUCUUCGGAUCGUAAAGCUCUGUUGUUAGAGAAGAACAGCGCAUAGAGUAACUGCUAUGCGUGUGACGGUAGCUAACCAGAAAGCCACGGCUAACUACGUG
rnacentral:rRNA from 1 species